rnacentral:misc_RNA from 1 species
GAUGAAGAACGUAGCGAAAUGCGAUAAGUAGUGUGAAUUGCAGAAUUCAGUGAAUCAUCGAAUCUUUGAACGCACCUUGCGCCCGCCAGUAUUCUGGCGGGCAUGCCUGUUCGAGCGUCAUUUCAACCAUCAAGCCCCGGGCUUGUGUUGGGGAUCUGCGGCUGCCCGCAGGCCCUGAAAACCAGUGGCGGGCUCGCUGUCACUCCGAGCGUAGUAGCACUCGUAUCUCGCUCAGGGCGUGCCGCGGGCUCCGGCCGUUAAACCGCCUCUUUAGCACCCAAAGGUUGACCUCGGAUCAGGUAGGAGGACCCGCUGAACUUAAGCAUAUCAAUAAGCGGAGGA